rnacentral:rRNA from 1 species
UACGUAGGGCGCAAGCGUUGUCCGGAAUUAUUGGGCGUAAAGGGCUCGUAGGCGGUUUGUCGCGUCUGCUGUGAAAACCCGAGGCUCAACCUCGGGCCUGCAGUGGGUACGGGCAGACUAGAGUGCGGUAGGGGAGAUUGGAAUUCCUGGUGUAGCGGUGGAAUGCGCAGAUAUCAGGAGGAACACCAAUGGCGAAGGCAGAUCUCUGGGCCGUAACUGACGCUGAGGAGCGAAAGCAUGGGGGAGCGAACAGG